CUGAAGCCUAAUUGGGCUCCUCCAUGAGCACAAAGGAGAAAGGCUGCGCUCAGGAGUGACUGCGUAUUGCAUAUCAGGGAAAAGUUAGACGGCUGAGGUUAGGUUGAUUCUCAGAGUAUGCUCGAGUGGAUACUGAAAAGCAGAUGAAGCUGGUGUUACUUGAUUGCUUGUGCCCGUGUUUGGGUGAAUAGAGGCACGAGCCCCCGGCAGCCUGCAUGUUAAGCUGACUCUGUGUCUCUUUGCCAUUCAUGCUUGUUCACCCCAGGUCAGGGACAACAAAGUAGCAGGUCCAGGUCCCAGAACGCGGACAGCAACAGUGGGUCUCCUACAGCUGGCACCUCGAACAGGGAGAGGGGACGCCUUCAGCUAUAUGAUCUGUUUCACAACAACCCUCCAGAGCGCUGGGAUUCCAGGUGUGUGCCACCGUGCCUGCCCAGCUCCAGCUCCACCUCCAGCUCCUUUGCAAUGAUGUUUCACAACCUCUUCAAGUGCCAG
rnacentral:lncRNA from 1 species